rnacentral:rRNA from 1 species
CAGCAGCCACGGGAAUACGUAGGGUGCAAGUGUUAAUCGGAAUUACUGGGCGUAAAGCGUGCGUAGGCGGUUUGUUAAGUCUGCUGUGAAAUCCCCGGGCUCAACCUGGGAAUGGCAGUGGAUACUGGCAAGCUAGAGUGUGUCAGAGGAUGGUGGAAUUCCCGGUGUAGCGGUGAAAUGCGUAGAGAUCGGGAGGAACAUCAGUGGCGAAGGCGGCCAUCUGGGACAACACUGACGCUGAGGCACGAAAGCGUGGGGAGCAAACAGGAUUAGAUACCCGAGUAGUCCCUGUCUCUUAUAC